UACAGAGGUCUCAAGCGUUGUUCGGAUUCAUUGGGCGUAAAGGGUGUGUAGGUGGCGCGCUAAGUCGGGUGUGAAAUUUCGGAGCUUAACUCCGAAACUGCAUUCGAUACUGGCGUGCUUGAGGACUGGAGAGGAGACUGGAAUUCAUGGUGUAGCAGUGAAAUGCGUAGAGAUCAUGAGGAAGACCAGUGGCGAAGGCGGGUCUCGUGGACAGUUCCUGACACUGAGGCACGAAGGCCAGGGGAGCAAACGGG
rnacentral:rRNA from 1 species